rnacentral:rRNA from 1 species
GAUGAACGCUAGCGGCAGGCCUAACACAUGCAAGUCGAGGGGCAGCGCAAAGAUAGUUUACUAUUUUGGCGGCGACCGGCGCACGGGUGAGUAACGCGUAUGCAACCUACCUUAUACAGGAGUAUAGCCCGAAGAAAUUCGGAUUAAUCCUCCAUAGUAUUUUCUAAUGGCAUCAUUUGGAAAAUUAAAGCUUCGGCGGUAAGAGAUGGGCAUGCGUCCUAUUAGCUAGAUGGUAAGGUAACGGCUUACCAUGGCAACGAUAGGUAGGGGGCCUGAGAGGGUGAUCCCCCACACUGGUACUGAGACACGGACCAGACUCCUACGGGAGGCAGCAGUGAGGAAUAUUGGUCAAUGGACGCAAGUCUGAACCAGCCACGCCGCGUGCAGGAUGACUGCCCUAUGGGUUGUAAACUGCUUUUGUAUAGGAAGAAACCCUUCUACGUGUAGAAGCUUGACGGUACUAUACGAAUAAGCACCGGCUAACUCCGUGCCAGCAGCCGCGGUAAUACGGAGGGUGCAAGCGUUAUCCGGAUUUAUUGGGUUUAAAGGGUCCGCAGGCGGGAAAUUAAGUCAGUGGUGAAAGCCUACAGCUUAACUGUAGAACUGCCAUUGAUACUGUAAGUCUUGAAUUCGGUCGAAGUGGGCGGAAUGUGUCAUGUAGCGGUGAAAUGCAUAGAUAUGACACAGAACACCGAUAGCGAAGGCAGCUCACUAUGCCAUUACUGACGCUCAGGCACGAAAGCGUGGGUAGCGAACAGGAUUAGAUACCCUGGUAGUCCACGCCGUAAACGAUGAUUACUCGUUAUUGGCGAUAUAAUGUCAGUGACUAAGCGAAAGUGAUAAGUAAUCCACCUGGGGAGUACGAUCGCAAGAUUGAAACUCAAAGGAAUUGACGGGGGCCCGCACAAGCGGUGGAGCAUGUGGUUUAAUUCGAUGAUACGCGAGGAACCUUACCAGGGCUUAAAUGCAGGACGACCGCUCCGGAAACGGAGCUUUCUUCGGACGGCUUGCAAGGUGCUGCAUGGUUGUCGUCAGCUCGUGCCGUGAGGUGUUGGGUUAAGUCCCGUAACGAGCGCAACCCCUAUCUUUAGUUGCCAGCGAGUAAUGUCGGGGACUCUAAAGAAACUGCCCGCGCAAGCGGUGAGGAAGGCGGGGACGAUGUCAAAUCAUCACGGCCCUUACGUCCAGGGCUACACACGUGCUACAAUGGUUGGUACAAAGGGCAGCUACCAGGUGACUGGAUGCUAAUCCCUAAAGCCAAUCUCAGUUCGGAUUGGAGUCUGCAACUCGACUCCAUGAAGCUGGAAUCGCUAGUAAUCGCGCAUCAGCCAUGGCGCGGUGAAUACGUUCCCGGGCCUUGUACACACCGCCCGUCAAGCCAUGGAAGCCGGGGGUACCUAAAGUCGGUAACCGCAAGGAGCCGCCUAGGGUAAAACUGGUAACUGGGGCUAAGUCGUAACAAGGUAGCCGUACCGGAAGGUGUGGCUGGAAUACCUCCUUU